GACGAACGCUGGCGGCGUGCCUAAUACAUGCAAGUCGAACGCUUCUUUCCUCCCGUGUGCUUGCGCUCGAUUGGAAAGCGGGGUGGCGGCCGGGUGAGUACCACGUGGGUAACCUACCCUACAGUGGGGGAAAAGACGUGGAUACAGGUGCUAAUACCGCGUAACAGUUUAUGCCGCAUGGCAUUAGAGUGAAGGGCGCUUUCGGGGGUCGCUGAUGGCUGGUCCCGGGGUGAGUUAGCUAGUUGGUGGGGUAACGGCUCACCAAGUGAAAGAUGGAUAGCCGACCGGAGAGGGGGAUCGGCCACACUGGAAGUGAGACAGGGCCCAUACUCCUACGGGAGGCAGCAGUAGGGAAUCGUCGGCAAUGGACGAAAGUCUGACAGAGUAACGCCGCGUGAGUGAAGAAGGUGUUCGGAUCGUAAUACUGUGUUGUUAGUGAAGAACAAGGACGUUAGUAACCGAACGUCCCCUGACGGUAACGAGUCAGAAAGCCACGGCUAACUACGUG
rnacentral:rRNA from 1 species